rnacentral:rRNA from 1 species
AGAGUUUGAUCAUGGCUCAGGAUGAACGCUAGCUACAGGCUUAACACAUGCAAGUCGAGGGGAAACGACAUCGAAAGCUUGCUUUUGAUGGGCGUCGACCGGCGCACGGGUGAGUAACGCGUAUCCAACCUGCCCAUCACUUGGGGAUAACCUUGCGAAAGUAAGACUAAUACCCAAUGACGUCUCUAGAAGACAUCUGAAAGAGAUUAAAGAUUUAUCGGUGAUGGAUGGGGAUGCGUCUGAUUAGCUUGUUGGCGGGGUAACGGCCCACCAAGGCGACGAUCGAGUAGGGGUUCUGAGAGGAAGGUCCCCANAUUGGAACUGAGACACGGUCAAACUCCUACGGGAGCA